rnacentral:rRNA from 1 species
AUUGAACGCUGGCGGCAUGCUUUACACAUGCAAGUCGAACGGCAGCACGGGUGCUUGCACCUGGUGGCGAGUGGCGAACGGGUGAGUAAUGCAUCGGAACGUGCCCAUGAGUGGGGGAUAGCCCGGCGAAAGCCGGAUUAAUACCGCAUACGCCCUUAGGGGGAAAGCGGGGGAUCUUCGGACCUCGCGCUAUUGGAGCGGCCGAUGUCGGAUUAGCUAGUAGGUGAGGUAAAGGCUCACCUAGGCGACGAUCCGUAGCUGGUCUGAGAGGAUGAUCAGCCACACUGGGACUGAGACACGGCCCAGACUCCUACGGGAGGCAGCAGUGGGGAAUUUUGGACAAUGGGCGCAAGCCUGAUCCAGCCAUGCCGCGUGAGUGAAGAAGGCCUCGGUUGUAAGACUC